rnacentral:rRNA from 1 species
CCUACGGGAGGCAGCAGUGGGGAAUAUUGCACAAUGGGCGCAAGCCUGAUGCAGCCAUGCCGCGUGUGUGAAGAAGGCCUUCGGGUUGUAAAGCACUUUCAGCGGGGAGGAAGGCGGUGAGGUUAAUAACCUCAUCGAUUGACGUUACCCGCAGAAGAAGCACCGGCUAACUCCGUGCCAGCAGCCGCGGUAAUACGGAGGGUGCAAGCGUUAAUCGGAAUUACUGGGCGUAAAGCGCACGCAGGCGGUCUGUCAAGUCGGAUGUGAAAUCCCCGGGCUCAACCUGGGAACUGCAUUCGAAACUGGCAGGCUAGAGUCUUGUAGAGGGGGGUAGAAUUCCAGGUGUAGCGGUGAAAUGCGUAGAGAUCUGGAGGAAUACCGGUGGCGAAGGCGGCCCCCUGGACAAAGACUGACGCGCAGGUGCGAAAGCGUGGGGAGCAAACAGGAUAGAUACCCGAGUAGUC